CAAUAGCGUAUAUUAAAGUUGUUGCAGUUAAAAAGCUCGUAGUUGGAUUUCUGGCAAGAGCGUACAAGCCCCACAAUGUGGGGACUAUCGCAUCGUCUCUGGCCAUCCUUGGGUGGAACCUAUUUGGCAUUAAGUUGUCGAGUAGGAGAUGCCCAUCGUUUACUGUGAAAAAAUAGAGUGUUCAAAGCAGGCUUAUGCCAUUGAAUAUAUUAGCAUGGAAUAAUAAGAUAGGACUUUGGUACUAUUUUGUUGGUUUGUGUACCAUUGUAAUGAUUAAUAGGGACAGUUGGGGGUAUUCGUAUUCAGUUGUCAGAGGUGAAAUUCUUGGAUUUACGGAAGACGAACUACUGCGAAAGCAUUUACCAAGGAUGUUUUCAUUAAUCAAGAACGAAAGUAUGGGGAUCGAAGACGAUCAGAUACCGU
rnacentral:rRNA from 1 species